AUGUGGAUUAAUUCGAUGCUAACCGAAGAACCUUACCUGGACUUGACAUCCCUGGAACCUGGUAGAGAUACUGGGGUGCCCUGCUUGCAGGGAACCAGGAGACAGGUGCUGCAUGGCUGUCGUCAGCUCGUGCCGUGAGGUGUUGGGUUAAGUCCCGCAACGGGCGCAACCCCUGCACUUAGUUGCCAUCAGGUCAAGCUGGGCACUCUAAGUGGACAGCCGGCGUAAGCCGGAGGAAGGUGGGGAUGACGUCAAGUCAUCAUGGCCUUUAUGUCCAGGGCUACACACGUGCUACAAUGGCGCAUACAGAGGGCAGCGAAGCCGUGAGGUGGAGCGAAUCUUGUCAAAGUGCGCCUCAAUUCGGAUUGCAGUCUGCAACUCGACUGCAUGAAGUUGGAAUCGCUAGUAAUCGCGGAUCAGCAAAGCCGCGGUGAAUACGUUCCCGGGCCUU
rnacentral:rRNA from 1 species